AGUGAACGCUGGCGGUAAGCCUAACACAUGCAAGUCGAACGGCAGCACAGUAAGAGCUUGCUCUUACGGGUGGCGAGUGGCGGACGGGUGAGGAAUACAUCGGAAUCUACUUUUUCGUGGGGGAUAACGUAGGGAAACUUACGCUAAUACCGCAUACGACCUACGGGUGAAAGCAGGGGAUCUUCGGACCUUGCGCGAUUGAAUGAGCCGAUGUCGGAUUAGCUAGUUGGCGGGGUAAAGGCCCACCAAGGCGAUGAUCCGUAGCUGGUCUGAGAGGAUGAUCAGCCACACUGGAACUGAGACACGGUCCAGACUCCUACGGGAGGCAGCAGUGGGGAAUAUUGGACAAUGGGCGCAAGCCUGAUCCAGCCAUACCGCGUGGGUGAAGAAGGCCUUCGGGUUGUAAAGCCCUUUUGUUGGGAAAGAAAAGCAGCAGGUUAAUACCCCGCUGUUCUGACGGUACCCAAAGAAUAAGCACCGGCUAACUUCGUG
rnacentral:rRNA from 1 species